UACGAGGGGGGCAAGCGUUGUUCGGAAUUAUUGGGCGUAAAGGGUGCGUAGGCGGUUUGGUAAGUCUUAUGUGAAAUCUACAGGCUCAACUUGUAGUCUGCAUGAGAAACUGCCGGGCUUGAGUAUGGGAGAGGUGAGUGGAAUUCCUGGUGUAGCGGUGAAAUGCGUAGAUAUCAGGAGGAACACCUGUGGCGAAAGCGGCUCACUGGACCAUAACUGACGCUGAGGAGCGAAAGCGUGGGGAGCGAACAGG
rnacentral:rRNA from 1 species